CUGUCUGUCGGGAGACUGCUUCUCCCUGGCACUGGCUGUGACUAAUUAUUACUUUAGAGAGACAUUGGUCUCUAAUAAUUUUAGACAAUGGUACCCUGACAUUCCUGGGUGUGGGGGGCCUUUCCUGCCCUACUCAUGUUUGCCUAGCUACCCACUCUAACAAUAUCUCUAUUUGCAUAAGCCCCAUAACUGGGAACAACUAUACCCAGAAGUCUCUUUCAUCAGGUAUCUUGAUAUCGCCUCGGUAAUUCUCUUUUCAUUCUGGUGGAGGCAGGAACUUUUCCAUGAUGGGGAUGGAUGGAAAAAGAGACAGAUAAUGGCCCGGGAGGCAAAGUACUUCAAUUUUCUAGCUGUUUAGGCACCUGUGUGACCAUCCUUGAGUUGGUUGCUCUGAAAUAAUUCUACGCCUUGAAAAUGACCCUUGUGACCAGGCAUGGUGGUUCGCGCCCUGUAAUCCCGGCACUUUGGGAGGCUGAGGAGGAGGAUCACUUAAACCUAGGAGUUAGAGACCAGCCUGGAAAACAUAGCAUAGUGAGACUCUGUCUCUACAAAAAAAUAUUUUUUUUAAAAUUAGCUAGGCAAGGUGGCACAUGCCUGCAGCCCUAGCUACUCAGAAGGCUGAGGCUCCUAGGAGUAUCACUUGAGCCCAGGAGGUUGAGACUGCAGUGAGCCAUGAUUGUGCCACUGCACUCCAGCCUGAGUGACAGAGUCCAGCCUGGGUGACAGAGACCCUGUCUCAUAAUAAAAAAAAGUUAAAAAAAGGCCAAGUGGGAUGCCAAAUGAUCCAAAAUGAGGGUGAUUUGCAGGCUCUGUCAAAUCAUCUCUAGUCUUCAGAAUAUCAUGAUUCUGGCUGUCUUGGAAAGAAGUAAAACAAUGAGAGAUAACUUUAGUGAUUUGACAAUCAAAAGAGAAUUUUUGUGUCAGAAUGAAAAAAACCGAAUUUCACUAAGGAACCAACUAAAACAUCAUGAAGAAAAUUACAACCCAGUUCUUCUUUAGAGACAUAUUGUAGCCAAGAAAUAAUUCAGGAGUUAGCCCAAAUUCUAGUCAAAUAAUAAAGCUUAAAAACAAAGGUCAGGGCUGGAAUUUAGUAUAAACAGGUGUGGUACAGUUUUCCUUUGAAACAUAACUUUUAUAUCUCUCUAGUCCCCCUUUUCUACUCAAGAGAAAGUAUAGUAAGAUUGAUCUGUGUGCAAAAUUAGUUUUAGCCUUAUUGUACUUCACCUGAUUAUUUGCACAAAGUGCAGCAAGAAUUGUUUGGCCAUAUAGGCUUUGCUGGAACUUUACCUGAAAAUUUGUUAGUCUAAUCAAAGCCUUGGUAAAAUAACCAAUGUCUCCAGUUGUGCCCUGUUUAAAAAAAAAACCAGAUUCUUAUUCAUCAUAUGCAAAUAUAACUAUACUGCCAUAAAAUAAGAACACUCAUGAAUAGUUUGUAAAUUUUAGAGAACUCAGGUAGAGAGAAAGGUAAAUUUGGGUCACAAAAGUAUACUUUAGAAUCACAGUUGCUGCCUUCCAAACAAGGAUGUUUGUUCACUGUUGGGAGAAAAGCUGAGUGUUCGGAGAGAAGCUGAGGCACGGCUUGGGAUAUGUCCAGGGUCCAGCCCCCGUGGCCUUGUGUUGGGUCCGAUCACCCCAACAUUAGUGGUGCCCAACGUGGGGCAAAGAAGACCCCGGUGAAGGAACACUACAGCAUGUGAAAGUGGAGGACGUAUCAUCAGAGGACACCCAAGGACGACUGAAAGAAGCUCUGUGGGAAAGCUGUGCGCUCAGAAGAACCAGGGACAAGAACACCGUGUAGGUGCCCUCAAGAUGUGUACAACCAUGGAACAGGAGACUGCGGGGAUCCAUGGAUCCCAACCAUGGACGGGGUUCCCCCAGUAUGAGCCAUGAGCCAGUUGAAUCUGAAUGUGAAAAUGGAACGAGGACUGACUGGAGUCACGCUGACAUCAACCCCCAUAACACGGGGACAGAUCAAGAAAACCACACAGGAAGCUGAGAAACUGCUGAAGCACCAGGGUUUUACCUUUUGCUGGGAUUCAGAGUCUACAGAUGCAGAAACCACUGCUGGAGAGAAAGCCGCCAUUGAGAACAAGCAAUGAUAGCUGUGGCGGUUUUACAAAAAAGAAAAGGGGACAUGUUGGGAGAAACACUGAGUGUUGGGAGAGAAGCUGAGGCAGGGCUUGGAACAUGUCCAGGGUCCAGGGUAAAACCCCUCCUGGCCUUUGGAAUGUGUCCAGACUUGCUGGCUUCUUGUUUCUAGCACUCCCAUUAUCUCAAGCAGCCAUGUUUCAAAGAAAAAUGCUAAACUGUCACAGCUGUAGCUCAUUCACUUGAUACACCGCUUCCUUUCAACUCCUACAUCCUCACCACCUGUUUCUUUGUUUGAUCACCAAUAAAUAGUGUGGGCUCCCAGAGCUUGGGGCCUUUGCAGCCUCCAUGCUAGCGUUGGCCCCUGGUCCCACUUUCUCUGUUAA